rnacentral:rRNA from 1 species
CAAUAGCGUAUAUUAAAGUUGUUGCGGUUAAAAAGCUCGUAGUUGGAGUUCUGCCAGGUGCCGCCUGUCCGCCCCAGUGGUGAGUACGUGGCGCGCAUUUGGCCCUUUCAAGGGGAGCGUAUCUGCACUUUAUUGUGUGGUGCGGGAUCCUUGACUUUUACUUUGAGGAAAUAGGAGUGUUCCAAGCAGGCUCUCGUCGUGCACAGCUCAGCAUGGAAUAAUAGCAUUGGACCUCGAUUCUAAGCUGUUGGUUGCCAGAAGCGAGGUAAUGAUGAAGAGGGAUAGUUGGGGGCAUACGUAUUUAACUGUCGGAGGUGAAAUUCUUGGAUUUGUUAAAGACGGACUACUGCGAAAGCAUCUGCCAUGGAUGUUUUCAUUGA